UACAGGGGGGGCAAGCGUUGUUCGGAAUUACUGGGCGUAAAGGGCCAGUAGGCGGCCAACUAAGUCACACGUGAAAUCCCCAGGCUUAACCUGGGAACUGCGUGUGAUACUGGAUGGCUUGAAUUCGGGAGAGGGAUGCAGAAUUCCAGGUGUAGCGGUGAAAUGCGCAGAUAUCAGGAGGAACACCGGUGGCGAAGGCGGGUCUCUGGGCCGAUACUGACGCUGAGGAGCGAAAGCAUGGGGAGCGAACAGG
rnacentral:rRNA from 1 species